rnacentral:piRNA from 1 species
UUUGAUUUUUUUCCAUCUUCA